rnacentral:rRNA from 1 species
UGGGGAAUUUUGGACAAUGGGCGCAAGCCUGAUCCAGCCAUGCCGCGUGUGUGAAGAAGGCCUUCGGGUUGUAAAGCGCUUUCGGACGGAACGAAAUCGCGCGGGCGAAUACCCCGCGUGGAUGACGGUACCGUAAGAAGAAGCACCGGCUAACUACGUGCCAGCAGCCGCGGUAAUACGUAGGGUGCGAGCGUUAAUCGGAAUUACUGGGCGUAAAGUGUGCGCAGGCGGCGCCGCAAGUCGAGUGUGAAAGCCCCGGGCUUAACUUGGGAAUUGCGCUCGAAACUAUGGUGCUGGAGUGUGGCAGAGGAAGGUGGAAUUCCACGUGUAGCGGUGAAAUGCGUAGAGAUGUGGAGGAACACCGAUGGCGAAGGCGGCCUUCUGGGCCAACACUGACGCUCAUGCACGAAAGCGUGGGGAGCAAACAGGAUUAGAUACCCUGGUAGUCCACGCCCUAAACGAUGAUGACUAGUUGUUGGAGGAGUUAAAUCCUUUAGUAACGCAGCUAACGCGUGAAGUCAUCCGCCUGGGGAGUACGGUCGCAAGAUUAA